AUGGGUGGAUGCUCCGCUCCAAACUGCUCGAACUCUACAACUAUUGGAAAGCAGCUCUUCCGCUUUCCGAAAGACCCCGUGCGCAUGAGAAAGUGGCUUGUAAACUGUCGGCGUGAUUUUGUACCGACUCCCUGCUCCAGACUGUGCCAGGACCACUUUGAAGAAAGCCAGUUUGAGGAGAUCGCCAGAUCACCAGCAGGGGGAAGGAAGCUCAAGCCCAACGCAAUCCCCACACUAUUCAAUGUACCCGACCCUCCCUCUCCUGUCACCCCUCAAGCAGUGUUACCUGUUAAAAAUGAGCCAGUGGAAAAGGACUUGAACAUGGGGGACCAUGGUUAUGCCCGCCGACAGCCCCCUGUGGAUUCAGAGGAGGAUGGGGUUCAGAGGGCAGACGAGGAGCGACCUUGCUCUCUCUGCCAGCAUUAUAAAACCAGACUGGAGCAGCAACAGCAGCACACAGUCAGACUACAGAGAGAGGCAGAGGAGAUGAAGAAACGCCUUUACAAACUGAGUAAAAUAGAGAAGGGGCUACAGGUGUUUCUGUUUGAGGAUCAGAUACGUGCCCUAACGUUAGCCAAGCGUUCUCGGAGGGCAGUGUGGUCCCAUGGUACUUUACUGACAGCCCGUAAAAUCCGCUGCACAGUGGGGGUUAAAGGAUACGAGUACCUAAGAGAACUGGGCUACCCUUUGCCUUCUUACAGGACGCUGUGUAAUCGCCUGGAGCCCAAAAUGAUGGUGACCACAAGCAUGCAGGAUGAACUAGCAGAGCUUGGCCUGGGCAUCAUAACAGCUUGUGACAGUCCAGAGGGCAACGUGACGAGCGAUGAAGGACUGAUUGGAGUCAUGACCUGAUACACUGUGUUUGUAAGAAUCUGCACUAAUGCUUGACUGUUAAACCAACCGAAGGCGAAGCUACGGCAGGAUUCACAGAGGAUGUUUGUUUACUGGGUUAAGUUAUUUUGGGUUGUUGCAUUUUAAAACCAUUUGCAUUAAUACCACAACCGUCUAGAGUUGAUUCACUAUUAUCUGUUUUCUUUUCUUCAAGAAAGAAAUAUUUUGGUCUUGCUGCAUCUGGCUGUGUAGUUGAUAUCUCUUGAUGCAAAUAUUGCACCUGUUACCCAUUUUGAGAAAAUUGAGGUAAACUGUUGGUGGAAUAAUUUCAGUUGUUCGUAGAAUCAUAAACUACUAAGAAUGUGCCCUGAAAACCAAAUAUUAUCACUCUAAACUUAAUUUUUGCUACUGAGACAAAGAGAAGGUUUCGCUUGUUUCUAUGAGAGAAAGUUGACAAAAGAGACUUGAUAAAUUGUCAAAUUGACAUGACGGUGUGACUGUGUAAAGUCACUAUUUUAAAGUGGUAUAUUGGUAGUAAUGCUGUUUUAAAGUGGUGUAAAUCUGGUGUAUGAGUUUAGCAGCCAAAAAAUAGCACAUAUUUAUAGAGCCACCACACAAAUGAUUCAUGCUGUUGCCGAACUGAGGGGGCUGUUCUGAAUAAACUUCUGUCUGCAAACCAGAGUUUCUGGUUUCAUUUAUUUUUUUUCCUGUGUUCAUGUUUGCCACCCCUGUCUGUG
rnacentral:lncRNA from 1 species